GUGAGUCCUCACGAGCACCAGAACCUCUCAUCUCUUUCUUUCUCUGCUGCUCGUGCCCCAUGGCCGCCGCCGCCACCCCCUGCACGGCAUGGCCCUAGGGCUGGCGCCCCCUCCUAUUCUCUGCUGCUUGUGCCUCCUUCCCUCCGCUCUCCACAGCAGCUAGAUCUGGGCGUGAUAGAGGGAGUUUGCAUUGUGGAUCUGCAGUGGAUGUGUGGUGAGGAGAAGACAACGCCAUGAACUGCGAUUGGGCAGAUCUUGUUGCUGGUUCUGCCAAGAACAAAGCCAAGAAAGCAACCAAGACAAAUGAAGAAGCUUCCACCAGUUCUUUACCAACCCUGGAAACAAAUAAUACAAAACAGUCCUGGUAGAGUUACUAGAAGCCGACUUGCUAUGCUGCAGGAGAAGGCACUAGUACCCAGCCCACAGUGGCAGCCUCACUCACCAAGCAAAAGACUGCAGCCAACAAAAGUCCUGCAAGGAAGCUGGCACGGCGGCACCUAAGAGACUGAAGAUUAAUUGAGCUGUCAACUCCAAGUCUUAGCAAUUUAUGUACCUGUGAACUUAGUGUUUGUGAUCUAAAUGUACAUGUCAACUAAGUAUUUGUGAGCUACUUGUGAACUCAGUAUUUGUGAGCUAGCUACUCCUUUGCAACAACAA